CCUACCUAACUGGGUUAGGGCCCUGGCUCCAUCUCCUUUAAGAAAACCUUCUGUGGGGAGUGGGGCUUUGACCCUACCCCAGCUGGGCUGU
ensembl:miRNA MIR1296 microRNA 1296